rnacentral:rRNA from 1 species
CCUUAGAGCCCUUUUCUGGCUCAGAGCGAACGCUGGCGGCAGGCUUAACACAUGCAAGUCGAGCGGGCGUAGCAAUACGUCUUCUUCAGACGGGUGAGUAACGCGUGGGAACGUACCUUUUGGUUCGGAACAACACAGGGAAACUUGUGCUAAUACCGGAUAAGCCCUUACGGGGAAAGAUUUAUCGCCGAAAGAUCGGCCCGCGUCUGAUUAGCUAGUUGGUGAGGUAACGGCUCACCAAGGCGACGAUCAGUAGCUGGUCUGAGAGGAUGAUCAGCCACAUUGGGACUGAGACACGGCCCAAACUCCUACGGGAGGCAGCAGUGGGGAAUAUUGGACAAUGGGGGCAACCCUGAUCCAGCCAUGCCGCGUGAGUGAUGAAGGCCCUAGGGUUGUAAAGCUCUUUUGUGCGGGAAGAUAAUGACGGUACCGCAAGAAUAAGCCCCGGCUAACUUCGUGCCAGCAGCCGCGGUAAUACGAAGGGGGCUAGCGUUGCUCGGAAUCACUGGGCGUAAAGGGUGCGUAGGCGGAUCUUUAAGUCAGAGGUGAAAGCCUGGAGCUCAACUCCAGAACUGCCUUUGAUACUGGGGAUCUUGAGUUCGGGAGAGGUGAGUGGAACUGCGAGUGUAGAGGUGAAAUUCGUAGAUAUUCGCAAGAACACCAGUGGCGAAGGCGGCUCACUGGCCCGAUACUGACGCUGAGGCACGAAAGCGUGGGGAGCAAACAGGAUUAGAUACCCUGGUAGUCCACGCCGUAAACGAUGA